CAUCUUAUGUCCUAAAAUGCUUUACUUUGGCCUUGUUCCAGGUCAGGUUUUUUUUCUUUUGGUUAUGGUGCACUUUUGGCUUGCAGUGCCCAGAGACCCCAAGAUCAUCCUCUCCAGAACUUGGAUGGCGAGCCCCAGCCCAGAGGACCGAGUGAACCGGAAGAUGGUGACCCGACUGGUCACUACCCGUGAGACAUUGAAUGAACAUUUGAUAGACACAUUGAAAAGACUAAACAAACAUUGAAAGAACAUUUAUAGACACAUCGAAAAGACUGGGUUAUUUAUUUUAUUUUAUUUUAUUUUUUUUAAUUGCACAAUUUUUGUAUAUUUGUUAAUGUGGAUC